rnacentral:rRNA from 1 species
GAUGAACGCUGGCGGCGUGCCUAAUACAUGCAAGUCGAGCGAACGGACGAGAAGCUUGCUUCUCUGAUGUUAGCGGCGGACGGGUGAGUAACACGUGGAUAACCUACCUAUAAGACUGGGAUAACUUCGGGAAACCGUAGCUAAUACCGGAUAAUAUUUUGAACCGCAUGGUUCAAAAGUGAAAGACGGUCUUGCUGUCACUUAUAGAUGGAUCCGCGCUGCAUUAGCUAGUUGGUAAGGUAACGGCUUACCAAGGCAACGAUGCAUAGCCGACCUGAGAGGGUGAUCGGCCACACUGGAACUGAGACACGGUCCAGACUCCUACGGGAGGCAGCAGUAGGGAAUCUUCCGCAAUGGGCGAAAGCCUGACGGAGCAACGCCGCGUGAGUGAUGAAGGUCUUCGGAUCGUAAAACUCUGUUAUUAGGGAAGAACAUAUGUGUAAGUAACUGUGCACAUCUUGACGGUACCUAAUCAGAAAGCCACGGCUAACUACGUGCCAGCAGCCGCGGUAAUACGUAGGUGGCAAGCGUUAUCCGGAAUUAUUGGGCGUAAAGCGCGCGUAGGCGGUUUUUUAAGUCUGAUGUGAAAGCCCACGGCUCAACCGUGGAGGGUCAUUAGAAACUGGAAAACUUGAGUGCAGAAGAGGAAAGUGGAAUUCCAUGUGUAGCGGUGAAAUGCGCAGAGAUAUGGAGGAACACCAGUGGCGAAGGCGACUUUCUGGUCUGUAACUGACGCUGAUGUGCGAAAGCGUGGGGAUCAAACAGGAUUAGAUACCCUGGUAGUCCACGCCGUAAACGAUGAGUGCUAAGUGUUAGGGGGUUUCCGCCCCUUAGUGCUGCAGCUAACGCAUUAAGCACUCCGCCUGGGGAGUACGACCGCAAGGUUGAAACUCAAAGGAAUUGACGGGGACCCGCACAAGCGGUGGAGCAUGUGGUUUAAUUCGAAGCAACGCGAAGAACCUUACCAAAUCUUGACAUCCUUUGACAACUCUAGAGAUAGAGCUUUCCCCUUCGGGGGACAAAGUGACAGGUGGUGCAUGGUUGUCGUCAGCUCGUGUCGUGAGAUGUUGGGUUAAGUCCCGCAACGAGCGCAACCCUUAAGCUUAGUUGCCAUCAUUAAGUUGGGCACUCUAAGUUGACUGCCGGUGACAAACCGGAGGAAGGUGGGGAUGACGUCAAAUCAUCAUGCCCCUUAUGAUUUGGGCUACACACGUGCUACAAUGGACAAUACAAAGGGCAGCGAAACCGUGAGGUCAAGCAAAUCCCAUAAAGUUGUUCUCAGUUCGGAUUGUAGUCUGCAACUCGACUACAUGAAGCUGGAAUCGCUAGUAAUCGUAGAUCAGCAUGCUACGGUGAAUACGUUCCCGGGUCU